UUCAAAAACUAUAAAAGAGACACCAACUGCGCACUUUAGAACUCAUCACCAUCAUUACGCAAGCCAUACGCUUCCGGGGGUACGCUACCGGAUUGCUGAUCUCUACUGUUCCGGUGACUAUAAAAAAGACACCACCUACUUACUUUAUAACUCACCACCAUCAUAUUACGGAAGCCAUACGCUACCGGAUUGCUGAUCUUAACUGUUCCGGUGACGAUGUCCGAUCAAAGCCCUAAAUCAAUUUUCCCGGUGAUCAUCUUCUCAAGGAGAUGGGGAGCAUUAAGCGAAUGUCUGAGGCUAUUUGGAGUUCAAUUCAGUCAGGGGUUAUCUUGUAAGAUUUCGCACAGUUUCGAUGCUGGUGUCCCCAAGGUGUAAUUUACCCUUUCAAAGUUUCAAUAUUCUUUAUCGCACACUCAAUUGGACAGACUUUCGUAAACACCCUCACUGGUAACCAAUCAUAUCGUGUUGAAUUUGCUUCGAAGCCCUUCUCUCUUCUAUGAGUGUUCUUAAUGAUUUCAAGAAUUAAUAACUUGUGCUUAGCUACAUAUUCCCCCCAUCCUUUUCCUCCAAGGUAUUAUCCCUCCUCACAAACGGCAGUAACCGGUAUCUGUUGCUAUCGGCAUUGGGACCUUCUAUAUUAAGGUGGAUGACAAUGGU